UGGGUUUUGGUAUAAUAAGGAUACAGUAAAGUUUGUGACGGUGGCGCUUUUUUUGAAAGUGAGGUGGUGCAUUAUGAAUGUACUAUCGAAAUCUGAAGAAAGGAGCAGUCUUUUGCAAGGUGUAGAUAUAAUCGGCAUUUUGUUAGCAAUAGCGCCUGUUUUAUUAGCCUUUAUUGGUUUAA
rnacentral:sRNA from 1 species